rnacentral:lncRNA from 1 species
GUAAAUUAAAGUGGCUCAUUUUAGUAUUAUCACUGACUGAUAGAUUUGUCCCUUAAUAGAGAUUAAUGUUCCUAACAAUUGAUGCUAACUUAUAUUUGCUGAUGCAAAUUAUCCCUUAAUUUUAGAUUAUUACUUUUAAAUUAAAUAUAUGUUGUUUUUCAGGAGUUGUGUCCCUUUAAUAUUUUUUUUAUUUAUCAGAAUAUGUUUGGUAUAUAUGUAAUCAAGGCGGUAUUUUAUGCUGAUUACAUUAUCUUUAUUUAUAUUCAAGGUUGUCAAACAAUCCUGUAGUUGUAGUAUUUUUGAAUUUAGAGAUGAUCUGUAUAAAUAUGUAUUAAAAUUAAUUGUUUCUUUUGCACGCCCCCUCAAUUACAUAGUAAUGGCUUAUUUUUUUUAUACCAACCUUAAUGGUGAAAGUAUUCAGAAUUUGAUGAAUUCUGAAAUUCUGCAUUUUAGAUCUGUGGUAAUAAAUAAGUUAUUUGAAUUUGAAACAUCAUUUAAGUUGACAUGUUACAUUUUCAAACAUUUACAAAUGAAC